rnacentral:rRNA from 1 species
UACGAAGGGGGCUAGCGUUGCUCGGAAUCACUGGGCGUAAAGCGCACGUAGGCGGCUUUCUAAGUCAGGGGUGAAAUCCUGGAGCUCAACUCCAGAACUGCUUUUGAUACUGGAGAGCUCGAGUCCGGAAGAGGUGAGUGGAACUCCGAGUGUAGAGGCGAAAUUCGUAGAUAUUCGGAAGAACACCAGUGGCGAAGGCGGCUCACUGGUCCGGUACUGACGCUGAGGUGCGAAAGCCAGGGGAGCAAACGGG